UCACUCACGCACUCACUAUGUUUUGGAAGAAUUAGGUAGGGUAGUUUAUUCGACCAGGGCCUUCAGAGCAACUUAAUGUUCUUUUUAAAGUUUUUAGCAACAUGGUAAAUGAGAUAAACGUACAUAUGUGGUUUAUGAUGGUGUAUGAAUAUGUUUAUGACUGUUUCACGUUUUGAAUAACAUAUCGAAUGUUGUUGUAUUUUUCAGCAUCCAUAUAUGAAACAACUACUGAAAGGUCGGUUCAUUUCCAAAGCAGCCCUUAUGAACACAUCGAAGAACAGGGGACUUCUGGCGCCGGAAAUUUUCAAGCAGAUGGGGAAGAGUACUACAGUCAGCUGGGAUCUUGGUGGUAAAUAGAUACGAAUUUCCUUGUAA